UGGGGAAUUUUGGACAAUGGGCGCAAGCCUGAUCCAGCCAUGCCGCGUGCGGGAAGAAGGCCUUCGGGUUGUAAACCGCUUUUGUCAGGGAAGAAAUCUUCUGAGUUAAUACCUCGGGAGGAUGACGGUACCUGAAGAAUAAGCACCGGCUAACUACGUGCCAGCAGCCGCGGUAAUACGUAGGGUGCAAGCGUUAAUCGGAAUUACUGGGCGUAAAGCGUGCGCAGGCGGUUUUGUAAGACAGAGGUGAAAUCCCCGGGCUCAACCUGGGAACUGCCUUUGUGACUGCAAGGCUUGAGUGCGGCAGAGGGGGAUGGAAUUCCGCGUGUAGCAGUGAAAUGCGUAGAUAUGCGGAGGAACACCGAUGGCGAAGGCAAUCCCCUGGGCCUGCACUGACGCUCAUGCACGAAAGCGUGGGGAGCAAACAGGAUUAGAUACCCUGGUAGUCCACGCCCUAAACGAUGUCAACUGGUUGUUGGGAAGGUUCCUUCUCAGUAACGUAGCUAACGCGUGAAGUUGA
rnacentral:rRNA from 1 species